rnacentral:rRNA from 1 species
AUUGAACGCUGGCGGCAGGCUUAACACAUGCAAGUCGAGCGGGGACUUCGGUCCUAGCGGCGAACGGGUGAGGAAUGCUUGGGAAUCUGCCCAGUAGUGGGGGAUAACGUUUCGAAAGGAACGCUAAUACCGCAUACGUCCUACGGGAGAAAGGGGGGGAUCUUCGGACCUCUCGCUAUUGGAUGAGCCCAAGUCGGAUUAGCUAGUUGGUGAGGUAAAGGCUCACCAAGGCGACGAUCCGUAGCUGGUCUGAGAGGAUGAUCAGCCACACUGGAACUGAGACACGGUCCAGACUCCUACGGGAGGCAGCAGUGGGGAAUAUUGGACAAUGGGCGAAAGCCUGAUCCAGCCAUGCCGCGUGUGUGAAGAAGGCCUUCGGGUUGUAAAGCACUUUAAGCGAGGAGGAAUGGCUCUUGGUUAAUAACCUUGAGCAGUGACGUUACUCGCAGAAUAAGCACCGGCUAACUCUGUGCCAGCCGCCGCCGUAACAC